AUUGAACGCUGGCGGCAUGCCUUACACAUGCAAGUCGAACGGCAGCGCGGACUUCGGUCUGGCGGCGAGUGGCGAACGGGUGAGUAAUGUAUCGGAACGUACCAUUCAGUGGGGGAUAACGCAGCGAAAGUUGCGCUAAUACCGCAUAUUCUGUGCGCAGGAAAGCAGGGGAUCGCAAGACCUUGCGCUGAUUGAGCGGCCGAUAUCAGAUUAGCUAGUUGGUGAGGUAAAGGCUCACCAAGGCGACGAUCUGUAGCGGGUCUGAGAGGAUGAUCCGCCACACUGGAACUGAGACACGGUCCAGACUCCUACGGGAGGCAGCAGUGGGGAAUUUUGGACAAUGGGCGCAAGCCUGAUCCAGCCAUGCCGCGUGAGUGAAGAAGGCCUUCGGGUUGUAAAGCUCUUUCGGCCGGGAAGAAAUCGUAUGGGUUAAUACCCUGUGCGGAUGACGGUACCGGCAUAAGAAGCACCGGCUAACUACGUGCCAGCCGCCGCAGUAACAC
rnacentral:rRNA from 1 species